rnacentral:rRNA from 1 species
AUAUCAAUAAGCGGAGGAAGAGAAACAAACAUGGAUUCCCCUAGUAGCGGCGAGCGAAGCGGGAAGAGCCCAGAUUUGAAAGCUCUACUAUGUAGCGCAUUGUAAGCUGGAGACGUACCUCCUGUAAUGGUACCAUGCCCAAGUCUGCUGGAAAGCAGCAUCAGAGAGGGUGAGAAUCCCGUGCUUGGUGUGGUUGCUGUUGCUUUGUGGGGUGCGCUCGACGAGUCGCGUUGUUUGGGAAUGCAGCGCAAAAUGGGUGGUAAACGCCAUCUAAGGCUAAAUAACGGGGAGAGACCGAUAGCGAACAAGUACCGUGAGGGAAAGAUGAAAAGAACUUUGGAAAGAGAGUGAAAGAGUACGUGAAAUUGCCAAAAGGGAAGCGCUGGCUGUCAGUACCGUAGCACUUGGCGUACACCUAGUUUCUGCUGGGCUAUGCGUUUUGUGUGGGGUCUGCGUUGGUGGGUUGUGUAGGAGAAGGCUGUGAGGAAUGUGGCUCUUUCGGGAGUGUUAUAGCCUCGCAGUGGAUGCUUCGCGACCGACUGGUGCAGGCUUAAUGGCCGUCAGCGACCCGUCUUGAAACACGGACCAAGGAGUCUAACA